rnacentral:rRNA from 1 species
GACGAAAGUCUGACGGGAGCAACGCCGCGUGAGUGAAGAAGGUUUUCGGAUCGUAAAGCUCUGUCUUCAGGGACGAAUGUGCUUAAUGUGAAUAAUGUUAAGUAAUGACGGUACCUGAGGAGGAAGCCACGGCUAACUACGUGCCAGCAGCCGCGGUAAUACGUAGGUGGCAAGCGUUGUCCGGAAUUAUUGGGCGUAAAGCGCGCGCAGGCGGGAAUGUAAGUCUGUCUUAAAAGUUCGGGGCUCAACCCCGUGAUGGGAUGGAAACUACAUUUCUUGAGUGCAGGAGGGGAAAGUGGAAUUCCUAGUGUAGCGGUGAAAUGCGUAGAUAUUAGGAGGAACACCAGUGGCGAAGGCGACUUUCUGGACUGUGUCUGACGCUGAGGCGCGAAAGCCAGGGGAGUGAACGGGAUUAGAUACCCCGGUAAUCCUGGCCGUAAACGAUGGGUACUAGGUGUAGGAGGUAUCGACCCCUUCUGUGCCGGAGUUAACGCAAUAAGUACCCCGCCUGGGGAGU